CAACUUGUGCAUGCAAUAGCGACAUGUCGAGCACGCUUUGAUUAUUGUUGUGAUCAUUCUUUUACAUAUGAGAUAGUCUGAUCCAGCUUUGGCCCCCUUGGCUAGUCUCCUUUUAGAGAUUUAAGGGAGGCUGAAUAAGUGUUCUAUGGAAAAGUAGAAGCCAAUGUAUUGUGCUUUGCUAAUGCAUAAGGGUUGGUUGUUGGAUAUAAUAUGACUUUACUGAAACUAUAUUAGAUGAAAUAUAAUACAUAUGCUCAUACGCAAUUUAUUCAACAUCAAAUUAACUCAUAAUUUUUUUAAUAUAAUGAAAUUAAGGAGUUGACAUUUGAUACAUGAUUCAAAGAUGUGGCUUAGAUGGUGCUAUCUUAAGUUAGAAUAUGGUGAAAUCCAAGUGAUUUUGGAUUAACCAAAAGUAUGCAACGACGUUUUCAGAACUAGGUAAGAUUGAGGCUACCAAUGUACCUUGUAGUAGUUAGGAGUGCUUAGAACCUAUGGAAUUGGAUUGGAAGCUUGAAUCUCAUAAACAGAAGCACUCAUGACUCUCUGGAAGAAAAAAGUUUGAUGAGCAUUUUCAUGGAAGAUACAGUCGCUUCUAAUGGCCAUUUCGAAAUGAAUGGUCCAGAAGUUCCAGUUAAUAUAAUUAUAAUCACCAGCUAAAAAUUAAGAAGCUAGAGUUCAAAUAGACUCGGGUUUUUCUAUUGCUAAGUGCACUACUCCACCCACGGAGUAAUGGUGGGGUCUUGCUAGGAUGCAUUCAGCUAUCUUCAUGUGAUAAGAUGACAUCUGUCACAAUUCAGUAAUAUGCACUGAAAGCACCAGCCUCCCUCUAAUGGUUUGACCAUAAGGUGAACACCUAAGCACCAAGGUUGAAGCAUCCAUUUGCAGUCACUGUUUUAUUGACUUUGUGAUGCGAAUCCUGAGUUUAUUAGAUCAAUAGAAGUCCUUAGAUUAGGAGUAUUAGGUAAAGGAAUCCAAUGAUGGAUUAUAAACUAUGUUCACAUCCUUUCCAUACUGAACCAGUUACCCAUCCUUAUAAUUAUUCUUUUUUGUUUUUUUGGAGAAAAUCAUACAAGAUGGUUUCAGUGGUUUGACAGACCCUUCUUUCUAUGGUCAAGAGGUGCAAAUAAUGUAAAACAGAAAUACUGUCAACAAACAGCAGCCUUAUUAAUGGUCAAAGUUACUCUAGUGUUGUAAGAAAAUUAGAUCCCGAACUUUAUGACAGCAUGAUUCCAAGUGUCAAGAAAUGAGCAUUUACAUGUAACCCUAAAUAAAUAAAUAAAUGAGCACUUACCAUGUCAUCUCC
rnacentral:lncRNA from 1 species